UACGGAGGGGACUAGCGUUGUUCGGAAUUACUGGGCGUAAAGCGCGCGUAGGCGGAUUUGCAAGUCGGGGGUGAAAUCCCGAGGCUCAACCUCGGAACUGCCUUCGAUACUGCAAAUCUCGAGUCCGGAAGAGGUGAGUGGAAUUCCUAGUGUAGAGGUGAAAUUCGUAGAUAUUAGGAAGAACACCAGUGGCGAAAGCAGCUCUCUGGGACGGUACUGACGCUGAGACGCGAAAGCAUGGGGAGCGAACAGG
rnacentral:rRNA from 1 species